AAGUCAUCAGGUCUUAGGCGGUCAUAUGUACUAUUGUAUUGUAGUUGGAUUAAUUGCAACUUUAAAGUCGGUAACUGCUGGAAAAAGAAACUACAAGAGAUAAAGCGCAUCUCAAAAACAGUGGAUCAAUCUAUGAAACUCUCUCAGAAUACUUAUUUACCAUCACUAUUGCCACCAUACUGAGUUGAAUUUCCAUUCCAGAAAGGAUUUCUAUCACCGAACUGGC
rnacentral:misc_RNA from 1 species